CGGGACGGGUGGGUAAUGUCUGGGAAACGUGCCUGAUGGAGGGAGAUAACUACUGGAAACGGUAGCUAAUACCGCAUAACGUCGCAAGACCAAAGAGGGGGACCUUAGGGCCUCUUGCCAUCGGAUGUGCCCAGAUGGGAUUAGCUAGUAGGUGGGGUAACGGCUCACCUAGGCGACGAUCCCUAGCUGGUCUGAGAGGAUGACCAGCCACACUGGAACUGAGACACGGUCCAG
rnacentral:rRNA from 1 species